rfam:Neisseria elongata subsp. glycolytica ATCC 29315, complete genome.
CAUUUAUAUUAAUAGCCAUGUAAUCGCUGGCAACGGCGAUAAACGCAACAGCUUAAUCGGA